CCGUCGUCCUCAUCCUCAUUUAUUGGGCGCUAGUUCAAUGACUUUUAGCAGAACUAAGUGGAACAUUUAUAUCUUCUGUGCUUAAAAUUAGAGCUGGAGGGGAAAAAAUGUAACCACUAGCUAAUGCCUAAUAGUAACAAAUAAAAUUCUUAGCUCUCAAUCAGUAUCACUACAAAUAACUUUGGACAAAAUUAAGAGUUACAUCUUUCAUAACUGAUAUUAACACAUAUAUUACACUUUAAAAGAUGAUUUGGUCAUGUAGAACAAAGAACAAAAGAUAGCUGAAUCACUUGCCACAAUAAUCACAUCAGCGUAAACUUCAGACGGCGAGACAAACUAGCAACUCGGCCAUAUAACUACUAGGUGAUGAUAAAAAAAAUGACAUAAAAAUGCGUAAUUGCAUGUGCUAAUAACCAAAGCAAUUUACCUGCAUUAUCAGAAAUUGGUGUCAGAGUAACAUCAAUUAAAGAUCCUGCACUUGUUGGAUGAAUCCAAAGAGUGUAAUUCAGAAUUCUUUAUCUCAUGUACCCGUUAAUUUGUACGUGAGGAAUGUGAGAAAGGAAGGCAGGCUGGUCCUCUCCAGGCAAGAAAUGUACCUUACGACAGCCCAAGAUUUUCAAUUCUUUAAGAGAGGUGAGAUGUUGAAUCCCCUUGUCAAGGUAUUUCAGAUUUUUAAGAUGCUCAAUUUUAAGAGAGGUAAGAGUGUUGGGCAGUAGAUUCUCCUCAGGGAAGGAUUCCACAUUUUCAUCAAAAGAAAUAGUGAAGUGCGAAAGAGAGGAGAGUCUAUGCAAAUCCCAUUGCAUACGGGCAGCAAUUAGUUUGGAACAACUCGAGAUCUCAAGUGAUUCUAAUUUGGAGGGCAAACCGUCUGCUGGAAAAGAUUCAAGUUCUCCACAAUAACCGAUCACCAAAUUAACAAGCGAAGGGAGAGAGUACAUAUGUUCAGGCAGCUCGGUCAACAGCGGGCAGCUCAUGAUUUCUAGUUUUCUGAGAGAGGUGAGGUGUUGCAACCGACUUGAGUUCAAAGAUAGGAGAUUACAACUCGAGAAUGAAAGAGAGGUGAGAGCCGAGGGCACCAGUGUCUCCCUCGGUAAGGAUUCCAUAUCAGAGUACGUACCACUUAUGGAAAGUGAAAGAGAGGGGUAUAUUUGCAAAAGCCAUUCCAGGCUACCAGCAAUGAGUUUCUCGCAACGAUCGAUCUGAACCAAUUCCAAUUUGGAGGGAAAAUCCUCUUCUGGAAAAGACUCUAGCUCUGGACAUUCAAGUAUUUUCAACUCCUCAAGGGAGGGGAGGAGGGCGUACAUGCAUUCAGGUAAUGACUUCAAAUUUACACGUCGCAAGAAGAGCCUUGUUAAAUUUGGGGUAGGUAAUCCUCCUUUAGGAAAUGAUAUAAAUUUAGGACACUUACAAAUCACCAAUGAAGUUAGAGAUAUCAACUCCCCCAGAGGUCCCUCAGAUGCACAUAGGGAUUCAAAAUUUUCACAUGUAUCUAUUUUAAGGUACUUCAGUUUGGGGAACAACUCUAGUGGGAAGAACAUAAGUGAAUCGCAGCAUUUGAUCAUGAUUUUUCCUAGAGGAGUGAAAAGAUUACUCAUACGCAAAAUUCCCUCUUGCAGAGGAUUUGGAAAGUUCAAUCCAACAACACAGAAAGAUUGCAAUCCAGAUUCUUCCCUUAAUUUCGAUCCAGAAUUUUCUCCCAUUUUGCGUAGUUUUAUAUCACGGAUGGCUGGAGCUAUAGGAAAAGAGACCAAAAGCUUGUCACAUCCGAGGAUAAUAAGUUCUGUCAAAGAAGGCAGGUGAAUGGGCAAGGCCUGGGUCAGAUUGGGACAAUAAACUAUCUCAAGCUGUUGAAGAAGAGGGAAAGC
rnacentral:misc_RNA from 1 species